AGUCACCACCCAUUGGAGUUUUCAACUAAGCCUCAGGGCCUUUGUCUCUGCCAACAAAGAAAUGGCUGGCAAACGCCCCCACGGCUCGUGAGCUGCCUGGCUACUCUCAGCUCCCCAGUAUGAUUCUGCUAGACUGGAUGAUACUGAAAACCCGUCACCAGUUGUGCAGGCUGCUCUCCUAGAGCUCAGGAACAAGCUGAAGUCACAGGCCGUCACUUGGACUGAUGAACUGCGGAAACAAGUGGGAUCCAGCAUGCACUCAAUCAAGGUGGCUCCAUCGUCAUUAUGGCCAUCCACAACGUCACCAUCAUCAGUUUGCUGUGUAGGAAGAGACAGUCGCCUUUCAGGCAGUGAUUCUAAGCAUGAAGAGUCUGGGGAAGCACAUCGACGUGAAAGGGAACAAGCAGGAAGUGCGUUUCUCCAUGGGGCCUGGGAGUCAGUGCUGACGCCCAGCCUGAAACGCACAGUCGCUUGCAGUUGUGGUGGAGGAGGAAGCCAUGGAUGCCAUCGAUGACGUGUGGCCAGGUCUGGAAACGAGGCAUCAGAGAAGCAGAAGGACGGGGACGUGAGAUCUGAUGCUGGAGUGCUGAGAGCCAUACCUGUGUCUCCCGUUUCUGCUCCUAGAGAAUCUGAAGGCUGACAGCCCUGGAGGAUGCUGAGCCCUGGAUAGGAGUCAAGAAGGCGAGGUGCCAAGUGCGGCUCCAUCACUAGACUGAUUCGGGCAUGUCUCUUUUCAUCUAUGGAAGGCAUUUUCUUCACUUCUCAAGGAAAAGUUU
rnacentral:lncRNA from 1 species